GCACAUGGGCAAGCAGCCUGAAGCACAACGCCCGACGCACAAAGCCUGGCUGUCUUCCUGCCGCCACUGGAGUCCCUUCCUGCGAGUGAGCUGCUCGCCCUCUUCUUUCUCUGCUCUGGAUCUGCCACCACGAACUGAAGGGCCACUGGAGCUGGGGGGUCUACAGCCCUGAUUUACCAUUCCAGAGGUGGCCAAGGUUUUGUUGGAAUACACACGGCUCCUCCUUUCCACCAGCUGCCUAAGAACUUCACCUCAGCGGAGGGGAGUUGUACCUUUUCUGCCGGAACCUGAAGUUCUCAACUUUCCAGCGUACACAGUUGGGUGACCUCUUCUUCAUGAUCUCCGUUUUGCAAGCUCAGCAACCUCGUUAUCUGUCCUGCCCGGAUGGUCCCAGGCUUGUUGGCAUAUUGGGCCCCCUUUAUCAG